AACUUUCAGUAGCAUAAAUAGAAAUUAUUCUAAAGCUUUAAACAUUCUAGGUAUUAAACAGAAAAAUAUUUUUAAUGCUAUAGCAGGAAUAUACAUUCAUUUUAAUAGUAAUCUUGUCGUGAAUAUCUAAGAAGUAUCUCAUGCCUUGGAGCCUACCAAAUUCUAGACUGUGCUUUUCUAGUUUGAAUUCCAAAGUGUUGUCUGUAACAGGUGCUUGGCUACGGAGUUCAUCUGUGGCAAAAAGAGUGGAUGUCAUCCUGAAGAGUCAUUCUGAAAUUUUUGAGGAUUUUUGACUAGUUACAUCUCUCCUUAAAUAAUCUUUUUUUGUUAGUGGUCAGAGAAACUUGCUUUCCACUAGAAACUAAAUCUAACUACAUGCUACUAGUAUAAAUGCUAGUAGUAGGUGAUGCUGAGUGCAUACUCAGAUUACCUGGAAAUUAUUUUCUAACUUUUGAAUUUUAUAGUUUAAACUUCUAAAAAAAAGCUUGAAAAAAAAGCUCUUGAGAGUUUAAGCAUUAUCUAACUCAGUCAAGCUAUGGUUAAGUAAAUUUCAUGUUAUUCAUUUGUUAUUCAUAGAGUUUAAAAAAAUGUUGCAAUGGGAUUAGUCAAUGUGGUCUUUUAAGAACCUUUAUUAUAGUGGCUCUUGUAGAAAGUUAAGUGAGGCUUUUUUUAAUGAACUACUAAUUUAACAAUGAGAUGCACAGCUUGACAGGAAUAUCAUUGUAUUGAGCACAAUACUACCUAACUAUAUAAUGAAAGAUUAUAAUGAAUAUAUGAAAUAAUUAUAAUAAAUAUGGGUAAUGAAAAGAGUGUAGGAAUGUGAGUUAUAAAUUUAAUCCCUGGUAGAACUCAGUGGCAAAAAAUACAUAGGUACUUCCCUUCAGGGUGGAGAUUACUCAUGAAAGUUUUUCUGUUACUAGCUAAAGAAGUUGUUUAUCCCAUUGCUUCUAGACAAGCUAAUGAAUGGUGUAAAUGUAGCAGCAUGUGGUAAGAUCUGUGUGAGGAAUAAUUGUAACUGAAUUGCAGGAUAACUUAUGGAUUUACCUGUGCUCAGUAUGAGUUCUUCCAGGAAGGUACCAGAGGGAUAUUGGUUGAAUAACUACCUGGUCUUUUGCUCAGGCAAGUCAGUGAGCAAUAAUGUCUGGCUUUAGUGAAAAGAAAAAACAAAAAGCAGUGUGGUGGCUUUUCCUAGUCUCUCACUGUCUUUUGUUGGAGUGAGAUUUGAGUUUCAGCAUCAAAGGAGAAGAAAAUUCGGGAGAGUAUAGGACAAAAAUAAUCCUCUGUGGCUGCACUAGGAAUGAUUGUAGAGAGAAGCUCUGCUUGCAGUUUUAUCAACAGGUGCAGAAAGAAUGAGACCUUCUGACUGUCAUUGUUGCCAUCAGCCAGGAGCGGAAGUAGCACCUACUAAAGGAUUUGGACUUCUGGGAUAUUUUUGAUAUCAACCUACAAAAUGGCCACUGCUUGGAGGGACACCUGUCCUUUCACCAAUGCCAGCUCUUCAUGUUAACCAAGUACAGCACCAAUGGGGAACCUAAGAAGACACUGCUGACACUGGUAAUAGUGAAAGUCCUGUAACCACGCAAGCAUUGCACCUUCUGUUGCACUUCAGAUUCUGUUGCAGUCCUAUGAGAACUUCUGAAAAAUUUAAGAAGGCUUUUCUAUUAAAACAAAUGUUGAUGAGUGUCAGUGCUGCACCUUUGUAAUUUUAAAUUAGAUGCUGCUAAACAGUCACAAAAUAAAGUUACCUGCUUUA